rnacentral:rRNA from 1 species
GUGAGGAAUAUUGCGCAAUGGAGGCAACUCUGACGCAGCCAUGCCGCGUGCAGGAAGAAGGCGCUACGCGUUGUAAACUGCUUUUAACCGGGAAGAAACCCCAGGACGUGUCCUGGGUUGACGGUACCGGAGGAAUAAGCACCGGCUAACUUCGUGCCAGCAGCCGCGGUAAUACGAAGGGUGCAAGCGUUAUCCGGAGUCAUUGGGUUUAAAGGGUGCGUAGGCGGAGCGUUAAGUCAGUGGUGAAAUCCUGCAGCUUAACUGUAGACUUGCCAUUGAUACUGGCGCUCUUGAGUGCGCUUGAAGUGGGCGGAAUGUGCCGUGUAGCGGUGAAAUGCUUAGAUAUGGCACAGAACACCAAUUGCGAAGGCAGCUCACUAAGGCGAUACUGACGCUGAGGCACGAAAGCGUGGGGAUCGAACAGGAUUAGAUACCCCAGUAGUCC